AGCGCACGGUAGAGCGCUAGACGGCAAUAAAGAAACCUUAAAACAAGACUAAAGCAACAAAAGAAACCUAAGUGUAUGAUUAGAUGUAUCGGUUGAAAUUGAAGGCUGACUAUAUACUGUAAUGUAACGUAGCGCGCGUAAGCUUAUAUACACGAAAAUCAACUUAAUAUCGCAAUUAUUGGGCCGAAAUCGUAAGAUUAUACUCUCUACCACCUUAACGAGUGAUCAAAACCCUAGAACACCAUAUAUGAAUCAACGCGUAAUGGAUUCCCAUUGUGCCUUUUCGCAAUUAGAACUUUCAAAAGUUUCCCUGUAAAAAGUUAUUUGCUUUGCAAAUAACUUAAAAUAUCCGUACGCGUGACGUCACAGAAUGACGCUCAGCCGCAUGGAGAGCGGUAGAGCGUACGGAUCUCGCACACGGAGCACCCGGGAGUGAAUGAUUAUUAUUUAUUAUUAAUUCCUCAUGAGUAGAUAAUAAGAUACAGAUUGAACGUUAACGCAUUUCCGUAUGCCUCGCUUGAUUUUUGCAGCCCAAGAGGAAAUGUGACUUGGUGUAAACUCAUCUAUUCAUAGGAAAAUUCUUUACUUCUACUCGAAAGUUGCGAUGAGCGAGGCCUAGACCAUGGAGUAUGAAGGAAGCUGGCCAAAGGAUGCUCCAUUAUAAGAUUUUUAGGAAAACCUACUGGGACGAUGACAACCUGCAGUCCAAAAUUUCUAAUCAAAAUAACAGGUUCUUUUUGUAGAACAUUGUCUUACAUCCUCAGUAGCAGAAGUACUUUGGCUGAAUUAUUCUCUACCAGGAAAGGAAAAAACAAAAUAUCUGGUUGAGGAAUGAUUUUUACUCUACUGUUUUUUGCUCUUCAGGGAAAAUUAGGCAAAUUCACUGGGAAUGGCCAUUGCAGGAACAUUCCUCUCUUUUUGCUCUGAGAUCAUACUAUUUUUCUAAACUGGGUGUCUGCUGAACUUGACUUGAAAGGAGAAACCAGACUAAAUAUAGCUAAGUUGAUUUUCGUCUUGAAAUCCGGAGGAAAAUCUUGUUUCCCCUCAAGAAAAGUUAGAGAUUAAUGAUUGGAAAUCCUUGGUUUUCAUCAGGGAAUAUUUCCAAGGAAAUUAGAAAGGAAUAAGUUAUUAUCAGGGAAUGGAAAAAAUCGUCAAUUCUAGACACUAAAUUUUAAAUAAAACUGCUAAAAUGUCACUUUAAAACUUUUUAUGCGUAAAAAAAAUCUACCAAAAAUUUGAAGAUAAACUGAUAGUUGGAUGGAAUUAAGCUAAACCGUCACAUUACAUGCAGUGUUUCCAAAUCUCAGCUCCUGUUCUAAAUUUUUGAAAAAAAACCAACUGACAUUUAUGCUUGAAAUUUUGUGGAACUUAACUUCAUGAAAGAAAGAAAAUUUACAACAAAUUCGAGUCGGUGUUGGUCGAUUUCCCUGUACAAAAUUAAAAUAUGAGAUGGGAUUCUGAAACACCACUUGUGAAUGUGACUAUUAUGCUUGACUCUCUCUAGUUAGUCUUUUUUGAAAAACUAAAAUGUGAGUGGACAUUCACAACAUAACACUUCGAUUUACAAUUUUAUUUUCACUUUAGUUAUUGAUAUAUAUUCCACGGUUACAUCAUACUUAUAGUCUUUGCUCUUCCUUUCAUGACACUAAGUAAGUAACCAGUUGUUCUGCUUUCUGAUGUGGUAAAAAAAUUGAACCCUCCCGAAGCUUUCUAUCUUAUGAUUGUUUCCCUUGCCAGUGUUAUUUCCUUUUAUUAACAUUUCUGACAAAUGGAAAUUAUGUGGAAUUUAAUCUUUUAUAAAAAAAAUGUUUCUGUGUAAGUAGCCCUUUCUAUUUUUUCUUCACUCUGUUUACUUUUUAUAUCUCAGUGUUACUCAUGCACAGUUAUCUUAGUCAAAUCUUACAUAGAUUUCUAAAUGCAUCCAUAAAUCAAAUAUAUAAAAUGAUUAUUAAAUUGUCUAUAAAAUAGAAAAUUCUGUGUUUUCACUUUAUUGAUUCAUUGCAAGAAUUAAAAUGUUAUCAUCAACUCA